rnacentral:rRNA from 1 species
AGUGAACGCUGGCGGUAGGCCUAACACAUGCAAGUCGAACGGCAGCACAGUAAGAGCUUGCUCUUACGGGUGGCGAGUGGCGGACGGGUGAGGAAUACAUCGGAAUCUACUUUUUCGUGGGGGAUAACGUAGGGAAACUUACGCUAAUACCGCAUACGACCUACGGGUGAAAGCAGGGGAUCUUCGGACCUUGCGCGAUUGAAUGAGCCGAUGUCGGAUUAGCUAGUUGGCGGGGUAAAGGCCCACCAAGGCGACGAUCCGUAGCUGGUCUGAGAGGAUGAUCAGCCACACUGGAACAGAGACACGGUCCAGACUCCUACGGGAGGCAGCAGUGGGGAAUAUUGGACAAUGGACGAAAGCCUGAUCCAGCCAUACCGCGUAGGUGAAGAAGGCCUUCGGGUUGUAAAGCCAUUUUGUUGGGAAAGAAAAGCAGCAGGUUAAUACCCCGCUGUUCUGACGGUACCCAAAGAAUAAGCACCGGCUAACUUCGUG